GGAAAUCUAUUCAUUGCCAUGGUAACCUCCUUGAUCUCCCGUGUAUCUGGGACCUCCUCUAUCCGUUUUUUUCGUUACUGGGUUUGCCUCUAAUGCGCUGAAAAAUGUUUAGCAGCGUGCCACAGGAAGUUAGCAUAAGAACGAAUUAGCAAACGUUUUUACGUCAUAUUUAGCUAAGAUUGGUAGCAUGCUAGCAAUGUAACAGAGUGCACGAGUAGUGGUUCAUACCAUUUUGACAAAACAUUUCACAAAACUGGCUACACACCUGGCAAACGAACCUCCUUACUGUCAUAACGCCUCGUGUAAGGCUGGUCGGCAAAAAAUAGACGAACUUAGCGACUAGGUUGGCUCUUCUAUCCGUCCGUAAUGACGUGCAUUUCCUUGCAUUGAACACUAGGGGGUGUACUCCGUAUAUUAUACAGAAUUUCGUACACGAAGCUAAACUGUGGCAACUACGCAGGAGUCGGUGUUACAAAUUGGUAUUGGUAUUGGUUAGCAUGCUAACUUCAGUUGAAGAAAGCAAGUGAUAGAAAAAGAAGCAAAACAAGCAUUAACAUUGGCGUUACUUUCCACCACUGGAGACAGCUUUUGGCGAGUAAAGGAAAGACGUUUGAUGCUCGCAACAGUUCUUCUAGACUGAUCUCCACGUCAACCAAGAAAACUCAAUUCACCGAUGACAGCCAUGAGAGAUGACAGAAAACGCCACUGAAUUUCCAAGAAAUGAAGCUCAUGAGGAGGUUCACGCAGAGGACAAAAAGUUUUAGUCAGUGGAAGCAAACCAAGAAGAGAGGUAAUGUGUUAAAUCAACAUGGGUUAGUCAUUAAUCUAAAGUAAUGAACAUGCAUUCUGCAAGAUAACACAUCUCCAUGUAGG